rnacentral:rRNA from 1 species
AACGAACGCUGGCGGCAUGCCUAACACAUGCAAGUCGAACGAGACCUUCGGGUUUAGUGGCGCACGGGUGCGUACCGCGUGGGAACCUGCCUUUAGGUUCGGAAUAACUCCCCGAAAUGGGUUCUAAUACCGGAUAAUGUCUUCGGACCAAAGAUUUAUCGCCUUUGGAUGGGCCCGCGUUGGAUUAGCUAGUUGGUAGGGUAAAAGCCUACCAAGGCGACGAUCCAUAGCUGGUCUGAGAGGAUGAUCAGCCACACUGGGACUGAGACACGGCCCAGACUCCUACGGGAGGCAGCAGUGGGGAAUAUUGGACAAUGGGCGAAAGCCUGAUCAAGCAAUGCCGCGGGAGUGAUGAAGGCCUUAGGGUUGUAAAGCUCUUUUACCCGGGAUGAUAAUGACAGUACCGGGAGAAUAAGCACCGGCUAACUCCGUG